GCCCACUGUCGUGCAACCAAUCAGAGCAAUCUACCGGAUACGAAACUCGCGCCCGGCACCGGACAUCUAUACACUGCCAAAAUAAAAAGAGCAAAAGGAAAAUUUAAUGGUACUCCCAAUGAAAUUGGUUGAGUCAAGAAGAGCAACAUAUGCAAGACAAUUCGUCUUUUACAUAGUAAGAAUUCCUAAAACGAAUCCAAAAGGUGGUUUCUAGUCGAAACCAGUGGGAAACACCGCUUCUCUACCAAAUACUAAUGUGUAAUGGGCAAAACCAGUACCUUCAUGGACAGCCGUAUUAUAAGAAAAACGGCAAAUUGAAGCCAUUCAUCCCAAUUGUGUGGACCAUCAAAAUGACACAAAUACUCAAUCAAAGUGUGAUGACUACGUUCGAAUGAUCCAAGACUUUGAGGAUGAAUAAGGGAGAGAAUUUGCUUCACUAUCACGAGCGAGUGGCUACGCUUCUUCAGUUCUGGUCUUCAAAAUUCAAAAGUGUUCUUUUGCUGACAAGACUAGUCCAAACGCCGGAGUCCAAAAUGAUUCAAGGUCCUGAUUCUGCGUUGCCGUAACCUUCUUGUGGGCCGGUCCUUUGUUGACACAACCCUUCCCGGGCGGGUCCCUCGUUGCCGUAACCCUUCCCGGGCCCGGUGACUGCUUCCUAUUUGAGCCUUGGCUGAACCUCUCUCAGUCACUUUCGCUGACGGGUACUGGGCCUUCAAUGUAGUCGCCCCAGGAUUAUCCGCCAAUACUCAAAACCAAAUAAGGCGCUCGAAAAUUUGAGAACUGAAAUUCCCAAGGUUUUAAAAAAACUGACCGCAAGGUGCAGCAAUCCCACCACUGUCACCAAUUCUUAUGUCCCGAUUCCGCUUGUGCCGAUCCAGUUCCACUAGUUCCAUCGAUGAUUGGACGAAAUUUCCAGGUGUUCCGUUGCUGCCUUUUAUUGGCUUAAAAGUCCAUUACCU